UCCUAUUACAAGUUCUGAUCCUGAAGCUUUGGAACUAAAUGAAAGCUGAUGCUCGGGGUGAAGUUAAUUUGAGAAUAAUGCCAAUGUUGCUGAACAAUCAUUCAAAGGAAAUGCGAUUCAAACGUCGUCGUCGAAGCAUGUUCCUGAACUUCAAUCUAUCAGAUACAAGUGGCCAAGGAAAUACCUCAGUUUUGUUAGCACACCUACUUCUCCAAGUCCACAUGAGGGAAUGCAUCCUUCUUUGUAUUUACCACCAUUUCUGCUACCUGUUAAGCGUAACUGCCCCAUGUAAAUUUCUUCUUGCUGUAGCUACAGUUAGGAUUCAGUGGUAAGUUGUCAGAUGUGGCAUUUGUGCAUUCAAUGUUGAAUGUACUGGGUGUUUGAUUUCUCAUGAAUUUGAAUACAGUUUGUUUUCUCAAUGAUUUAUCUAGAAUAUGUGUUGUUUUUAUUUAUUUUGAUUUAAAAUCAACAUAGUUUGUUUUCUCUUUUUGUUUUGUA